AUUGAACGUUGGCGGCAGGCUUAACACAUGCAAGUCGAACGAGAAAAUGCCUUCGGGCAUGAGUACAGUGGCGGACGGGUGAGUAACGCGUAGGAACCUACCUGGUAGUGGGGGAUAACUCGGGGAAACUCGAGCUAAUACCGCAUACGCUCUACGGAGGAAAGAGGGCCUCUAUUUAUAAGCUCUCGUUAUCAGAGGGGCCUGCGUUGGAUUAGCUAGUUGGUAGGGUAAAGGCCUACCAAGGCGACGAUCCAUAGCUGGUCUGAGAGGACGAUCAGCUACACUGGAACUGAGACACGGUCCAGACUCCUACGGGAGGCAGCAGUGGGGAAUCUUGGGCAAUGGGCGCAAGCCUGACCCAGCCAUGCCGCGUGUGCGAAGAAGGCCUUCGGGUUGUAAAGCACUUUCAGUGGUGAAGAAAAGCCAGGGGCUAAUACCCCCGGGUCUUGACGUUAGCCACAGAAGAAGCACCGGCUAACUCCGUGCCAGCCGCCGCCGUAAGAC
rnacentral:rRNA from 1 species